CUGGGGUGAGGUAGUAAGUUGUUGUGUUGUUGGGGAUUGGGAUAGUGCACCCCCUUUUUGGAGAUAACUAUGCAACUUACUGCCUUCCACAG
rnacentral:pre_miRNA from 1 species